rnacentral:pre_miRNA from 1 species
AGUGGGAUAGCUGGGUCAAAUGGUGGUUCCAUUCCAACUUUUCUGAGGGAUCUCCAUACUGUUUUCCAGAUUGAUUGCACCAAUUUGCAGUCCCACCAGCAAU